GUCUGACCUGCCCACUGAAAUAUUUUAAAUGGCCGCAGUAUACUAACUGUGCAAAGGUAGCAUAAUCAUUAGUCUUUUAAUUGAAGGCUGGUAUGAAUGGUUGGACGAGAUAUUAACUGUUUCAUAAAAAUUUAUAAUAGAAUUUUAUUUUUUAGUCAAAAAGCUAAAAUUUAUUUAAAAGACGAGAAGACCCUAUAAAUCUUUAUAUUUAUAUUAUUAUAAUUUUUUAGAUUUUUUUUGUUAUAAUAAUAGAUUAUAUUUUAUUGGGGUGAUAUUAAAAUUUAAUAAACUUUUAAUUGUUUAAAUCAUUAAUUUAUGAAUAAUUGAUCCGUUAUUAGCGAUUAAAAAAACAAGUUACUUUAGGGAUAACAGCGUAAUUUUUUUGGAGAGUUCAUAUCGAUAAAAAAGAUUGCGACCUCGAUGUUGGAUUAAGAUAUAAUUUUAGGUGUAGCCGCUUAAAUUUUAAUCUGUUCGAUUUU
rnacentral:rRNA from 1 species